UACGUAGGGUGCAGGCGUUAAUCGGAAUUACUGGGCGUAAAGCGUGCGUAGGCGGUUUGUUAAGACAGGCGUGAAAUCCCCGGGCUUAACCUGGGAACUGCGCUUGUAACUGGCAAGCUAGAGUGUGGCAGAGGGGGGUGGAAUUCCACGUGUAGCAGUGAAAUGCGUAGAGAUGUGGAGGAACACCGAUGGCGAAGGCAGCCCCCUGGGCUAACACUGACGCUCAUGCACGAAAGCGUGGGGAGCAAACAGG
rnacentral:rRNA from 1 species